CCCUACAAGAUUACAGAAAUUAUUUCCCCUCAAAUUAGUGGAAGAAACAAAAGAUGUCUCCUGAAACAUAAAAGCCAAGAAUGCAUUGGCAUAAAAUUUGAAAAUAGGACGUGGUGCUCAAAGCAGGUAGCCUUGUCCCAAAUUCUGGAGGAGAAUUCUGUGUCCUUUUUCUCACAAGACAAAUGAGGACCUCACAGGUUCUGCUGAGCCAGCAUGUUCUCAAAUACACUCACAUGUCAAAGCUGCUAGUCUCAAAGGAAGUUUGAUGAGGGGAAAUCCAUACAAAGUUCUCAAAUGCAAGGAGCAGAUUAGGAAGAAAGUAUUCAACUGAAACAGGAACUUGUGUUUUAAAACAUGAUGAACAGCACAAUCCACUGCAUGUAUAUUCAGUAAGUACGAUUAAGUUAAAUGGGGCUUAUUACUAGGUAAGUGUGCACAGGAUUGCAGUCUAAGAGAUUUCACAAGGCUCUACCGUUCCUUGAAAAGAAUCCAGGAGAGUAUAUAUUAGGUUUUUUUUGUAUAUAUGUGCUAAAUAGUUCAGAGUCUACAGAGGAGGGUAUUAACUUCCUUUCAUGGAAACCAUUUCAAGUAACACUAGAGACAAAUAAUAGAUUUUAAACAGUCCAACAGGAUAUUUAAUUGUAUAGAAUAUAAAUGCCAGGCUGCCUGUGCCAUCCCACAUCAUAGGAAUCUUUGCACUUUCCAAUGAGCUGGAGCAAAGCAUAGGCUUCUCCUAUCAGAGAUGAGGAGACCAACAGCCAAGUUUUUUUAAGUCUCAAAGUCACUAAUUUUAAAAGUUGCCACUCUGUCUGGCUCUCCCUUCCUUGAUCUCCCAAUAAUCAACCCCAUUCUGUUUUGCUUUGCUUUUUUAAAAAAAUAAAAAUUAAAUUUUACUGUAAAGGUUCUGCCAAAAUUUUGUAAAGGAUUCCAGCACUAUAAAAACUUUGAGAACCACUGCAUUGGUCCAUGGGUAAAGUUAGGCCAUUAUUCAGCCCCUUAUCUGCUGUACAGAGGUGAUAAUAUUUUAUCUCGCAGAGUUGUUGCAAAGAUUACAUAAACUGAUGGUCCAAGUCUACAGAAACAGAUCCUUGUUGUUGUUGUUGUUUAGUCGUUCAGUCAUGUCCGACUCUUCGUGACCCCAUGGACCAGAGCAUGCCAGGCACUCCUGUCUUCCACUGCCUCCCACAGUUUGGUCAGACUCAUGUUUGUAGCUUCGAGAACACUGUCCAACCAUCUUGUUCUCUGUCGUCCCCUUCUCCUUGUGCCCUCCAUCUUUCCCAACAUCAGGGUCUUUUCCAGGGAGUCUUCUCUUCUCAUGAGGUGGCCAAAGUACUGGAGCCUCAGCUUCACGAUCUGUCCUUCCAGUGAGCACUCAGGGCUGAUUUCCUUAAGAAUGGAUACGUUUGAUCUUCUUGCAGUCCAUGGGACUCUCAAGAGUCUCCUCCAGCACCAUAAUUCAAAAGCAUCAAUUCUUCGGCGACCAGCCUUCUUGAUGGUCCAGCUCUCACUUCCAUACAUCACUACUGGGAAAACCAUGGCUUUAACUAUACGGACCUUUGUUGGCAAGGUGAUGUCUCUGCUUUUUAAGAUGCUGUCUAGGUUUGCCAUCGCCUUUCUUCCAAGGAGCAGGCGUAUUUUAAUUUCGUGACUACUGCAGUGUUCAUGGAGCCCAAGAAAGUAAAAUCUCUCACUGCCUCCAUUUCUUCCCCUUCUAUUUGCCAGGAGGUGAUGGGCCCAGUGGCCAUGAUCUUCGUUUUUUUUUUAUGUUGAGCUUCAGACCAUAUUUUGCGCUCUCCUCUUUCACCCUUUGUUGCAAAGAUUACAUAAAUUGAUGGUUCAAGUCUACAGAAGCAGAUCCUUACAAACUAUCAACAGCAAAAAAUAUUGAGAAGGUUAAGUAGGACUUUACAAACUGUAUUUCAUCAAUCCAUAUGGUAGCUUAUCGUGCCAUUUUACGAAUGGGGAACUAAGGCUGAGAGAAAGUGAAGUUAAGUUAGACCUUUUGGCAUUUGUUCCUACAGCUCCUUUGCCAUGGAAUACAUAUUUUCUGCAGCUUCUUCCCUAGGCCUACUCUUGCCAAUGCUUUUUGGUGCUAGGAAUGCCUGCAGAAAAAAAUGCUUUCUGAAAGAGCUUUCCUUUCCUAAAACCAUUUCAUCUCUGUUGUUAAUGAUACAGAUGCUAGAAGGACACUCAAGAGAAAAGGCCGCUGCUAAAACACCACUUUCAAACUCUCUGAGCAUUUCCUUACAACCACUUCACUUCUAGCUUUUGUUUAGAAUCUGUGACAUGAACACAAAAAACCGAGUGGCCAACAAGAGUCUAAGUCUCAGACAUAUAUUCUUGCCCCCAUUUCACAAGCCAUGCACGAACACAGACCAAGCUCAUAAUAACAAUAAACUAUGACGGCUGUGCAUCUCUCCACCUACGUAAGCUUCAGCAUCAUGCUGAUAGAUCCGCCCAGAGGUUGUUUAUCUAACCUGUCCUCUUUUAAGAAAACUUUCCCAAGCUUGUUACUCUCUACUAUGGCCAAUUAACUUGGGGAAAAGCAGAAGAAAUAAACAGUUAUCAGACUCUUGCAUUUGAGGGCCCCUGCGGACGUACUUUUUAUCAAGCAUUCAUCAUGGUCUGUGCUCACGUAAUCAGGGCGGUUAUAUGCAAUCACAAUUCCAACACCGUUGGCACCUGCAAAAGUUUUUGGUUGGUCAUAAUACUUCGUUUGUAGUAGGUGCAUGUCCUGCAGGAAAACUCUGUAACUUUUCAUACCACUAAUGUCCCAGGGGGUGGGGAGUGUUGUCCCACUUCUGCUGUGCACAAGAGUAGCCCUCCAGAUGGCAAUAAUAUAGUUACACUGGGGACUUCAGGGGAUAAGCUCAGGGUCUCAGAACCUGGAGCAGACAGUCCUUUAGAUGCUCUGAUCCAAAAUCAUUUAUAAUCUUUAAAAGUUAAUGAUCAGCACUUUGAACUAUGCCCAGAAAUGAACCAGAAGUCAUUGUGGCUCUUUUAAUGAGACUUGCAAGCUUCCAAGGUCUAGUUCAUAUCAGCUUUCUGACUGCCACAGUAUGGGACUGCUGAAGUUUCCAAACACACCUCAGAAGUAGCUGCACAUAGAGCACAUUGCAGUCAUCCAGUCUUGAUGUAACUAAGACGUGUGUAGCCCCAACCAGACUGGACCACUCCAGGAAUAGACACACUGACGUACCAGCCUAAGCUGGGCAAAGUCACUCCUAGCCACCACCUGAGCAUCAAGGAACGAGGAGGCAGGAUCCAGGAAUACUUCACAAGUGCAAACCUGAGUCUUCAAGGAAGUGUUACCCCAUCCAAGAUGGGUUGAUUUCCUCUUUCCAUAUCAGCAGUCCUGACAUUUGCGCACUUUCAGACAACCUGUUUAUUGAGCAUUCAUCCUAGUUUGUUUCUGAGGUUAGGCAGCAUUGCACCAAGAAAGGGCCGGUAUGUGAUUGAAUCCUACUGUAAAAUAGUAAUAGUCUAGCAGCCCCCAUUGUCUUCUCUGGGUUAAAUUUCAAUUUAUUAACAUCCAUCCAGUACAUUACUACUUUCAGACAAUGGCUCAGAACGUUUACAUGAACCAGAUACCCUAUGCCAGAGAAAGCAGGAAGAGUGGAAAUGAGAAAUGAGUUAGACAGGUGUAAAAUGAGAUAAAUUGUGGUGGAGCAGUCCCCCGAGACUUAGAACCAGCAAUAAACUUUGCUAGGGGUCUCCAAGAUCUGGGUUAAAAGAUGACUAUCCUUCCCUAGGAUAGUCAAUAUUUCAAACAUAUUCUCAUGAAACUUUCCUGGGAGAUUAAACCCACCUGACUAAAAGGCCUGUGAUUUCUUGAGCGGAGAAGAACCAAAGAGUUCUGUAUUUCACAGCAGUUCCCACCUCUCACAGGCCACAGGUCUCUGAGUAAUGAAAAUGUCUCCAUCGCAGUAUCAACAAACAUUCAUUGGGAAAUGUGUAAUGCAGAGCAAAGGGUACACACAUUGAUUAGAAAUGAAGUAAACUGGCUUGGAUGACAUAACUGUCAACAUGAACCUUCACCUAAAAUUUCUAAUCCAACCAAUUUGAAUCUUUGUUUAAAUCUCACAUCCACCCAUUAAGAUUUUAUAAAAUCAAAAACAUCAAUAUUUUUCUUCCAAUUUUCUCUUUACUCAGUGCUUUAUCCUUCCAGAGGUCACCCAAAAGUCACCUGCUCUGGCCAAUUUAGAAGGAUCAGAAUAACAUUGGGGAAUUAAUAUCGGAUCUUUUCCAAGCUGGCAACUAUCAGUAACUGCCUGAAAACGUGAAUCAAACUCUGUAAAGUGUGCAAAGGGAAGGCUUGGAGAAAACAUCAGUAAAAAGAUGUGCAAUCGGUGAAGCCACCCAAAACAGGGAAGCUAAAAUUGUACAUUGAUUUCAGAAACUGGAAAGAGAUCCAAUUGGCCUGUUUUUGUUAUUAUUUGUUACUCAGUUUGCCAAAUAAUGUAUACUGAUUUUCUUUUUUCAAAGAAACUAAUAAAUAAAAUACUGUUGCUUCUUCCAGGCUUGAAAGGAAGAAGAAAUUGAUAGUUCAUUAGCAAGACAAGAUGGCGAAAGGAGAAAAGGGAGAACGCAAAUUCUAUUGGGCUUGUCCAUAAGCCACACACAAAGCACAAAGAACUGGAUAGAAGAUUAAAGCCAUCCAGCUGAAGCAGUCAUAAGAAGGCCUAAAGAAGAUCAUCAUGGUGGUACUCACUGAAAAGUGUGGGGGGGACGACCCAGAGAGGGUCAGAUUGGUCUUCCGGGCUACAAUAGUGGAAGCUGGGAUAAGGGAAAGUCAUACCCUGAGCAAUCCUAGUCCAGGCAGGAAGCUUGUUGGAGGAACUACAGAGCUUCCCUACACUUCCUUCAUGAAGCAUGACUGAGAAAAGGCUGAUUUCCUUACCCAGCUCCUUAAGGAAAUGGUACUUCUUGAAUCCAGUCCCCAUCUGUGGGGAAAUGGCUUUCUGAGCUCACUUUCCCCAGGGAGCUUUCCCAAACUGUCUCCAACUAAGAAUUAGUCUAAGAAUUAGUUCCCAUGGUAACGUAUCACCUAUAUUUCCUCAGGUGAAGACGUGCUGAGCCAGACCUGUCCUCAGGUUUCAGGCCCCUUUUCCCUCUCUUGCCCACUCACACCAAGAAUUCAAUAUUUUUAAAUCCCUGUUUUCAACUGUCAUUCACUGAUACUUUUAAUAUUGGGUUUUUGUAAACCACUUAUUCUGACGCUUUUUACAAGCCAUAUAAUAAUUGUUAAAUAGGCAGAUAAAAAUAAGAAAAUUUCCCAAUGCUUAGUGGCAAUCUUCAUUUGAAUGUCAGUUUUUUUCCUUUUCCCUCCUUCCAAAUAUUCUGUUUUCAUAGAGGAAGGACAGUUGAGGAACCAGGUUUUGUUGGCUGAAGGGAUAGCGGUGAAGAAUAGUGCUGAGGGGCUGCAAAUGAAUGUAGGCAUAGGGCUAUGUCCUCCUGAGGAAAAUGUGCUCCUACACAGUGAGAAGGAAAUGAGAUUUGUAGUGGCAGAAACUGCUGGAGGGAAGGGGAUGGUGGUGGGAGGUUUCAGAGAGUUAAGGAAUGUCUCGAAAUAAAGGCAAGUACUAGCACAGUUGCUUUCUAUUUAGGAGCAAAUAUCAGAUAUAUUUAACUGCAGGAUACUCUUGUUAGCUAUCUGGCAUACCAAGUACACAAAUAAUUGCAAUGCCAAAAAUCAUAAUUGCAAAGAUAGCUGCCAAAAAGCAAAAGAACUGAAAACUGAACCAUUCCUGCCACCGCCCCACCACACCCAAGUGGCCAGCACAAUAGCAUUAAAUCUGCACCAGUAAAUGAGGUAAGCACAAAAGGAAUAAGCAGAGGAAAGUGCAAAAUAAGGAAGGCAUACCUAAUAUACAGUGGUACCUCGGGUUACAUAUGCUUCAGGUUACAGACUCCGCUAACCCAGAAAUAGUACCUCGUGUUAAGAACUUUGCUUCAGGAUGAGAACAGAAAUCGUGCUCCAGCGGCGUGGCAGCAGCAGGAGGCCCCAUUGGCUAAAGUGGUCUUCAGGUUAAGAACAGUUUCAGGUUAAGAACGGACCUCCGGAACAAAUUAAGUACUUAACCCGAGGUACCACUGUAUUCACAAUCCAUAAAUUAAUAGUUUGUGAGAAAUGUGAAUAAAUGAAACAACAUAAUAACGGUUAUUUUAUUUGAUAUUUGUGAACUUCAUUUAAAGUGUCCAAUUAUUUUGGUUUAAGUUGCUGUUUGUUUUAACACCUCUUUCACAAUGCAAAGGAAAGGACAUGUGCUAGCCCCCGAGGGAAGGAACUGUUUAAUUUUGGAUUUCUUUGCUUUCAAAUGUUUGCUUUCUUAACCUUAUUCUUUAAAUCUUCACUUACUUUUCCUUUAUUGAACAAACGUUGUAGUAGAAUAAAUCAUUUUAGACUAGAAUGUUGUUGCAAAAUACAUUUCAAUUAAUUUCCCCACUGGAUUUGACUUGUUUACACUUAGCCUGAAGGAAAUCUAAUAAAAUUAUGACUUGGUUGUUUUACUAUGAAAAAUAGCCAUGUCCACUGGGAAAACCAAGAAACCUUGGCGAUAUAAACAUGUUGUUUUCAAGUCCACUUUUUCAUCUUGAGGCCAGUUCCCCCUUUUCCCUAUUCAGUGUGCCAUCAUCCUCUGUUAUUCAUAUUUUCCCACCGUUAUGCCUUUUUGUGGGCUUUAAGGCCUUAUCCUAAAUUGAAAUGGAAGCAAAGAUUCCCAUUAUAUAUUCUAAAUGCAUCAUUUCCAAGAGAAUGUUCCAAUGGUCCAUCCGGGCAAAACUACAUAUGCUGAUUCCACCAUGUGCCUUUAAAUGCUGGCUGUUGCUUCACCUUUGCAAAGAAGUAUCAGGAAGGUACAAUUUCGAGCAAGAGGCAGGAAGCAGGAGGAGGGCACUCCCUUCCCUCUCCCAGCACUUUCCUCAUCCAACUUUAGCCUCAUUGCACAAGCUGCUUUUUCCCAGCAAGGGUUCAAGAUCCAUGCUUACAAAGGAAAUAUACCCGAGUGGGUGAGCCUACUCCCAUUCUGAUAACAUAAUCUGAUGACAAUGAAAUGUCAUCAAGAACUCUACCUCCAAAUCAGAAUUCAAGGGUAAUCUCCCAGAUUGCAUGCUGCUGAGUUUCCCCAUGACCACAGAGGAGCAAUCAUUUUUUAUGGGCAUCACCAACCAACCGCCUCGCACAUAUGCACACACCUCCUCUGGCACACACAGAGGACUUGGGGAAGUGAGAGGUCUCCCAUAUUGCACUGGGCUUGGAGGAGGCAGGAGCAGCAGGGAUGUCUCUGUUUCUGCCUGCCCCACCCCUUAAAAGGGCAGCCCCCAAGUUCCCUAGCAUGCAGAGGAUUCAGGAGGAGGUCUCAUAUUGUGGUGGACUGUGCAACAGAUGUCAGCUCUUUCAGACGUCUUCUGAAAAAUGUAUAGUUUAGACAGGGCUUCACAACAGGAAUUUAUCUGUUGCGCAACCAGUAUUUCCUGAUUUUUUGAAUUAUGUUUUAAUGGAUGCCUUUUUUUAAUUAUAUUUUGUGUGAUGUGUCCCGCCUUUAUAUGCUGUAAUCAAAGUGUGGAUUAUAAAUAUUCCAGUAAGUAAAGAGACAGGUGGAAACACCUCCGAAGCUCAGCAGGAAUUGAGAGAUCCCCACCUAUCCCCCAAGUUCACGCCAGAGAACUCAAAAGGGAGCUAUUCUGCCUGUCCUAAAGGUGCGCAUGAGACCUGCAAAUUCUCUCCAAUUUGCAAAAUCGUGAAGGAAGUGGGGAUCUGCGUGCUGCUCAGUAUUUUUGUCAGGGCAGGUGCAGUUGAUAGAAGCAGUUGCCACUGGCAAUCAGAUUUGUCAAGGCUUUUCAAAGCAGGGAAUAGAGUUUGUGCCAGAAAGUUGGUUUAGGAUUAUAGCCUGUGUCUUCCAGUUUCAUUUUGUGAGAGGCUGUAGAUCUAACUAUAAUGUGGGUGGUUUUUUUGCCCCAAGGUAUCUCCCAGUGCCACAAAGAAUUAAUAGUUAUGACUUCAAAAAUGUAGACUGUAAUAAUCCAGCAGCCAACUUGCUGCUGAAAUUUCCUGAAGUUUCUUAAAUCUGGGAGGACUGUUUAAUAAAAAUAGCACUGAGUCUGACCUGUAGUGCCCCCUCUGGAAAGGAGAAGAAAAUGUCCUGUGGGGAACAAACCUGAAUAGGGCAUUACUGUGUGGGAACUGGAUGACCUAAUAGGUUUUUCCAUCUCCUUUCUCUAGUUCUUUAAUUAGGAAUUGUCUAAAACGCUACCAGCCCACCAGUGAAAUAGAUCUGCAGUUUGGAUGAAGGUACCCUGCAAGGCAGACACAUGCCAUUCAUUAGCAUUGGCAGGCCACGGGCAGGGAGGGGAAUGGGAGCCUGAACAUUUCCUCUGUGACUGGAAGCAGGCAGGCAUAACAUGAAGUGACGAACAAGGAAAAGAGUAAGUCAAGAUGGAGAGAAAGCCCCUUUUCUUGAAUAUUCAAAUCACAGUAAUAAUUGCUCCACUUUGCUUCUUCCGAAACAGGACAAAAUGGAGCCUGCCUACUCUAUAAUACCGGGGGGGGGGGGGUAUUGCAAGCAAGUGCUGCCUGUUUCCUUCAAGACACAGCCCCUAUUUCCAAAGUUUCAGUUUCAGUUUGGCUUAUAAAGCUAAAAAUUGACCAUCGUAUAUCAAGUGUCACAUGAACCAUGGUCAAUCCUCACGUUGAAAUAUCUUUGAACCAUCUACAGUGGUACCUCAGGUUAAGAACUUAAUUUGUUCUGCAGGUCUGUUCUUAACCUGAAACUGUUCUUAACCUGAAGCACCACUUUAGCUAAUGGGGCCUCCCACUGCUGCCGUGCGAUUUCUGUUCUCAUCCUGAAGCAAAGUUCUUAACCCGAGGUACUAUUUCUGGGUUAGCGGAGUCUGUAACCUGAAGUGUCUGCAAACUGAAGCAUCUGUAUCCCGAGGUACCACUGUAUUCUGCAAUGGUCCAAGGGCCUCACUGCCCUUCUUACAUUUGAAACCAUUCUUUGUGUGGAUGUAUCAAAGGUUAUUAUAUUUUUAAUGAGAGGGUGUCUUUCCUUUUUUUUUCUCCAUCUCUCAUAUUCUCUUUAUUCUUUUUUGCUUUAAAUUUAUUUAAAAAUCAAUAAUAAAAUUCCCUUAUGUCAAACUUUGCAGGUCCAAAGUGUAAAAGUGAGUGUAGUCAUUUUUGAAAUACACUUUUUGGGGGGGCGGGGCAGUUACAAAAACUCUUUGGCAGCACAUAAUUGCAGCAGCGAACCCACAAGAGCGGUCAGCAAAAAAAGAGCAAACAAUCAAAGCAAAUGAGGCACAAGAGGCCUUGGUGGAUACAAAAACUAUUUUGGCAUCACAGUGGGGGACCUAUGGGAGAAAUCAAGAAAAAAUGUAAAUUUUUUUGAAACUUUUUAAAAAAUUGGGGUGCUCUUGAGGGUCUACAAAAAAAAAACCUUUUGACAUCAUAGCAUCACAUCAAGGGAAACAAAGGAUUUGCUAAAAAUAAUUUUAAAAUUAAUUAUUUUGAGAAAUUACACAUUUUGGAGGGGUCCUGGGGAAGCACCACAAAACCUAUGGGGGAUCGCAUGCGGCCCAUGGAACAUGGGUUGGCCACCCCUUCUGUAGAGAGAUGAACACUCUUUUCUUGCAACACACAAGUAGUUUCUAGCAUUAUUUUUCUCCCCUUUCUCCUUCAACGAAAAACUUUUGGACCAAAUCUUAUAAUCUUUCCAAAUACAGAAGAACAGGGAAGAAUCAAAGAUAUGGUUGGCCUGCAAAAAAUAUUAAGGCUUUCUGUCCAAGCUGGCACACAGUUUGUAGCCUUGGGAUUGAAUUAGCUACACUUAACAAUCACGACAGAAAAUGCUGUCUGAUCAGAUAAGGAAAGAAAACAUGAGAAACAAAUGUUCAGGCUGUUCUCUGAUUCCAAUUUGCUUUGAGAACAGUUAAUUUGCAUUAAAUCAGGUGGCAUUACAUAAGGUAUGGAUCGAGAUUAAUUAAUGCAUCUUUAGGAGGGAAAUGUUAUUUAUGUAUAAAAGAAAAGAAAUUACAUUUUUGCAUAGACUAGCCUGACAGGUCGCCACUUGCCUGGUCACUUCUGGAAAGUAUGAAUUGCCACUAGAUGCCAUUAAAUGAAGAAGAUUGGUGCUACUUUUUGGAUUUGAUCACAGGCCAAUUUACUUCAUUGUCCUUUCUCCAAAGUGUCCAGCAAAGAAUACUUCAGAGGAAACAUUACAUUGCUCGAGUAUUUGUAAUAUAUGGACCUACCUUUGGUCCAAAGUCCUUCAUGCUGGCUCACUAACAAGAGUUUAAACAAUCUAGAUUAUUUCAUUUCAGUGGAUUGGUCAUACUUAAUGACAGAAUAACUGCAGCUAAAUAAAAACAUUUAGCAACGUAGGUACGGUAAUUUAGAUAGUAGGUGAUUGUGAGGAGCUGGAAGGAAAGGAAUGCACUGACAUUUUGGUUGUGGACAGAAAGCUGAAAACUGUCCAACAGUCAGAUGGCAUUUUCUGGUGUGUACAUUUAUCCCACAUUUCCGUUGCAUAAACUGGUUUCUGUAUUGUUUUAAAAACCUGUUUAACUGGGGCAAAAGGAACAUGCGUUCAAAUGGAGCAUGAAGCCUUUUCUCAAACAAGCUUUUAGCUAUGUCAAAAACUGCUUUUUGUCUUCCUGUCUCUGCCAGUCCACUGAGAUAAAGAUGCAUUUGCCUUCCAUUCAAAUAUUUAAUUUCAUGAUUUUCUGAGAUGAAGGCUAGACCCUGAAGAAUAGCCAUUUUAAUACUUCACACAGAUAACAUUUUUUAAGUACAGCGGUACCUUGGGUUACAAACACCUCAGGUUACAAACACUUCGGGUUACAAACUCCACUAACCCGGAAGUAGUACCUCGGGUUGAGAACUUUGCCCCAGGAUGAGAACAGAAAUCGUGCGCCAACAGCGUGCCGGCAGCAGUAAGCCCCAUUAGCAAAAGUGCGCCUCAGGUUAAGAACGGUUUCGGGUUAAGAACGGACCUCUGGAACGAACUGAGUCUGUAACCCGAGGUACCACUGUAUUACAAAAGACAAAAUAGAAGCAAUGAUCUAUUAGGACCCAGAUGCACUUCUAGUAGAUGCAUGGGGCAGUGUGUGUGUGUCCAGUGCUGAUCUGCUUGUCUCCUAUGAGCUGAUGCUCCUCCUGUUGGAAAAGGUGGAGAGGUCCACUUUUCAGGACUAGUGUCAUACAGCUGAGGUAGGGGUUGGGGGGGAAGAAGGAAGUCACAGCAUGGCACGGAUGGGCUAAGUAGGGUGGAUCCUGCAGCUGUGCUGAGGUCAGGUGCUCUUCACAGCCUCCUGUCUUCCACCCACAGCUGCCAUGACAGCUACAGCUGCAUGCCUCACCAACUCCGCAGCAGGAAGGGGUCAAACUUGUCUGCACCGUCCAGAGCAAUCUCACUGCAGUUGGUGAGCAGCAGCAGCAAACCUGCUUCACUGCAGGCCCCUUUCUCAACAAGGAUGGCAGCAGUGGAAGAUGCCACUACUGCCACUGCAGCAGCCACAGCAGUGGCACUUCCCUUUGCUACAGAGUAGCAACAUCUACACUUCGGAACUUCCUGCCUAUUGACAUCAGGUCAGCACCUUCUCUGUAUUCUUUUUGGCGCCUGCUUGGAACAUUUUUGUUUAGGCAAGGUGGCGCUGUGGUCUAAACCACUGAGCCUCUUGGGCAUGCCGAUCAGAAGGUCGGCGGUUUGAAUCCCCGUGACAGGGUGAGCUCCUGUUGCUCGGUCCCUGCUCCUGCCAACCUAGCAGUUCGAAAGCACGCCAAAAGUGCAAGUAGAUAUAUAGGUACUGCUCCGGUGGGAAGGUAAACGGCGUUUCCGUGCACUGCUCUGGUUUCGCCAGAAGCGGCUUAGUCAUGCUGGCCACAUGACCCGGAAAAACUGUCUGCAGACAAACACCAGCUACCUCGGCCUUUAAAAGCAAGAUGAACUCCACAACCCCAGAGUCGUCUGCGACUGGACUUAACUGUCAGGGGUCCUUUACCUUUACCUUUUAUAGAGACAUGUCCCUUUUUAGUUUACUGCUGAUUUUGUUUUAAAAUGUUCUUCAUUAUUUGUUUUUAACUGUUUUCCUGACAAUUUAAUAUUUCUUGUAAACUGCUUGGAUAUUUUGUUACAAUCAAGUGGUGUAUACAUUUUGCUAAAUAAACAUGUAUGUUCCAAGUAACAGCCUGUAAAAGGUUAGUGGUUGACAGUUCAAUGAACUGUGUAUUUGUAUAUGAAUUUAUGACAGUUCAGGGAACUCUGUAUGAGUUCAAUGGGACUUACUUCCUGCACUUAAGAGAAAUUACACCACAGCCUAUAAGGGUAAAUGCCACAAGGUUGUUGCGGUAAUGUCCGUGCAACAUGAAACAAGUUCACUUGAGAUACUUCAUUCACAAAUAGCAAUGCAAAUAACUUUGCACUCGUAUUUUUCUACAAGGUUAGCUAUUUCAGAGUGUCAUUUCUUAUGUGAUUCAUUAAUUUAUGAAUCACUUCCCAUAAAACACCCCAGGAUGAUUUACAAUAAAAUCAUCUGCAAUGAAAAUAUUUUUAAAAAUACAAUAAAGAAAAAAGGCUGGGAUAUAAAUCUUCUUAAAAGUCUUGUUGGAAGAGGAAGGUCUUCAGUGAGCACCAAAAAGAUAAAAGAGACAGCAUCUGUCUGAUGUGCAGCAAGAGGGAGUCCCAAAGGGCAGGUGCCACCACAAUGAAGGCCUGAUUUGUACAUCAUAGAGCUCUUGUUGUGGCAAUACCUGUAGGAAGCUCAGCUGGAUAUACAAUGGCUGAAACAAUAUUUUAGGUAUUCUGUUCCCAAAUUGCCCAGGGCUUUGCACACCACUACCAAUCCCCUGAAUGCAGCUAAGCAGCUAACCAGCACCACUCAAAUUCUUUUAGCAGAGGCUGGCAUUGUACCCCAGUAAAACUAGUGAUUAAGCAAAGGGAAGGCGCCUAUAUCUCAUCCUCCCAAUACUUUAGGGUACUGAAAAAGAUUUGUACAAUAUUAUUAUUAAUUACCCACUCUUCAUCCUACAGUGCCAGGAUGGGUUGUUGUUGCUGCUGCUGCUGCUGCUGUUGGUAUUUUCCCUACUCUUCAUCCUAUAGUGCCAGGAUGGGUUAGUAGUAGUAUUAAUUGCCCACUCUUCAUCCUACAGUGCCAGGAUGGGUGGUUGUUGUUGUUGUUGUUUACCCACUCUUCAUUCUAAAGUGCCAGGAUGGGUUAUGAUGAUGAUGAUUAAUUACCCACUCUUCAUCCUACAGUCCCAGGGCAGAUUAAAGCAUUGUUGUUGUUUAGUUGUUUAGUCAUGUCUGACUCUUCGUGGCCCCAUGGACCAGAGCACGCCAGGCACUCCUGUCUUCCACUGCCUCCUGCAGCUUGGUCAAACUCAUGUUCGUAGCUUCAAGAACACUGUCCAACCAUCUUGUUCUCUGUCGUCCCCUUCUCCUUGUGCCCUCCAUCUUUCCCAACAUCAGGGUCUUUUCCAGAGAGUCUUCUCUUCUCAUGAGGUGGCCAAAGUAUUGGAGCCUCAGCUUCAGGAUCUGUCCUUCCAGUGAGCACUCAGGGCUGAUUUCCUUAAGAAUGGAUGCGUUUGAUCUUCUUGCAGUCCAUGGGACUCUCAAGAGUCUCCUCCAGCACC